UUAGAAAAAAAAUGGUUUACCUAUUGGUCAUUCUUAUAGUCAAUGCAUGUAGCAACAGAUCACUGUCCCCAUUCCAGGUGCAUGAAAAUGGGCAAAGGACCAAAGUUCUAGAUAGCUUGUAACGCCAUGAAAAUAGUUUUACUAACAAUAGGAAAAACAAAAUUGUUAGGGUGGAAUAGUGUUAUCCAUGGAGACAAUGGAGAGGUACUUUUCCAUUGUGCAAACACCGAUAUAACGGGGAUUUGACAUAAUUGAUUUCCUUGAUAAAAUACAUGGACGGCAGUAUAUUCAUUUUAGAUCUCGGGCAUCAUGGUGUCUUCAAGAAAUGACUAACGAGAAAGUCUAAACUCAUGCAUCAUAUUCAUUGCCUUGCGUUCAGUUCUUUUCCUUUAUCUUUAAUGCCCUGGUUGCUGAAAAUUUUGAUCAAUUUCAAUCUGUUGGAGGGGGUGGGGGAGCUGGUUUUUAUCACUACUGACAAGCGUGAAUGAGCCAGCAUAAUAUUUGGUCUAAUCAGAGAUACCUGGGAGAAGGAAUGGAUUCACUGAGUUACCCAUAAGGAUAUUUCCAAUAAUAAAAACUCGUCCAAGUACUAAUAAUUUUCUCUCAUUUUUCAAGAAAAGGAAAUAAAUCAGAUGGCAUAUUUAAUGUCUAACUACGUUUGACGUGCAACUAAAUUGGGUUAUCCGAUUGUACCAGUUACAAUUAAGAGAAUGUAAUUUAGAAGUGUUUAAGUUGGGGGAAUAAUUUAGAACCAAGCCUAUCAAUUACACAUUCAAUCCAAAAUUGCAUACUACUUGAGUUUUUUUCUUUUCUCCAUUAAAAAUGAUAAUUGACAUAUUUAAUUGAUAGAAAUUCCUAUGAGAUUUCAUGCCAGACAAGCCUUUUUUUAUUAAAGAUAGAAAGCAGGGACCAAAUUGAAAUAGAUUUCAAAUUUUAGGGUAUAUGGUGAAAAUUUUCCCUUGCUAAUAUCUUGGACAAAAAAAAUAUAGAAGACAUUCAUUUGGAGAAGUCAAGUAGAAGUAUGUUUCAAACAAGAUUCAAGAAGCUAACAUAACAAUACUUAUAUUUCAACUGAAAUAAACUUCUACUGAAUUAGUUAAAGCUUAGUCCAAGUACUGAUCCAACUACUUAAUACUACAUAUAUGUAACUUUUCAAGCUAUUAAGCUACAUAGUCCUCGGAUCAGAGAUGUUCUAUGAUGAGUAUGAACACAUCUCGAUGAUCGAAGUUUCACUAUUAUUACGAGAAAUUAUUGGAAAUGACAAAUAGAGCUAUUACCCCAACCACAUUGUCCUUCAAGUGCUGAUCUCUAGAGGCAAUGCCGGUGGUUGAUCCUCAAGUGACUGGGACUUAACUAGUUAUGUUGAGGAUCUGGUCCUCCUGGUGAAAUUCUUGAUGAUUCUAUCAAUACCCUCCUUUCAUGCUUCAUUGCAGUCAAAUCAUAGCCUGCCAAUGCAUGUAUAAUGGAUUGGCUAUAAAUCCUUUUCUGCAUUGUCUUACGCCCAGCAUAAUUCUUUGCUUCUACAUUAAUUGCAUUUCCUGAUAAAAUAAGUAAGAUGACCAAGGAAGCCUGGAUGAUGGUUGAGUUAGGCAUUUCUAAGCUGAAUGAAAAACUGAUCAGUAGUAGCUAGAAUGGAUGACAAUGGCAAGUGGCAUUUGACAGCAAGUGAAACCCGUUCUCAUAUAUAGUUGGAAAUUCAUGGCAAACGUCCAAGGUUUAACAGCUCAGGAAAUAAUGGUGUGGCGUAUGCAAGUUGACAAAUCCUGUAGGGAUAUUUGCUUUUGUUUUCUACAAGGUUUAAUAGCUUUUCCUACCAUUACCUGAUAACUUUAAUUAUCCCUCAAAUUGCAUAAAGGCUGAAGCAUUUGUCUUAGGUCCCCACAUGAGCAAGGAGGCACCCUGUUUAUCUUUAGCUUGAUCAUUCAUCUCCCAUUAAAACUUGCCUGCACAGUCAUCGUCUGCUCUUUAAAAUCCAACGUUGGACUUGGGGCCUGGGGCGGUGCUUAACAAGACAAAACAAGAACAAAGUUGAUCAAACUCUGAAAAUAAAAAUGUUAAGGGAUAUAAAAUCCUUCAACUACAGGCCAAGAAAGAGACAGAUGUGGCCAAAUUUCAUUCAAGUCAUUCUUGCAUUUGGUUUUUGUCUUUUGUUGAUACAAAAGCAAGUGACUCUGCAAAACGAAUGCGUCCGUGCCCACUUUACAGGUUAGGACAAUUUGUCCUUCCAUAAUCCAAAGGGUUACUAAUAUAACACAGCACCUAUUCUAUUCCCACUUAGGCGAUUUUUGCUGCUUUUUUGUUUGUAUUAGGUCUGCUUAUCCAACUUGCACCGCUUUAGGUUUUUUGGUUCCUAACUUUCCUGUUAACUUUAAUCGCUUGAAAAGUUGAUGAAUAAUUUUUCGUUUUCUUGGAUAAAUAUCUUUCUAACUUUGCAAUCAAUGUCGUCAAAGGCAGAGUGUUGAUGUUUCCUUUUUUGUCUUUUUAAAUUCCCAAUACAAAGAUGACAUGAAAUUCAUGAAUCUUGUGAUAUAAUCUCUAUCUAACUGCAAAAGUUACAUUGCAUCCACUUGAUAGAUACGGCCGAUUUUCUAGCUAGUAUUUCCUUUAUUUAUUUAUUUAUUCUAUUGUAAAGUUUAUUUUGUUCAAGGAGCUAAGUCUAGCAAUCAUGCUUUAAACUAUGAUAUAAACAAUUACUUAGUUACUGAACACAAGGAUUAUUUACUUGGAUUAUGUAAUUGUUUUUAAAAAAUAAUAUUUAAUAAAUUUAGAAUUUAAAUUUUAAUACAUAUAAUCUCUAUUAUCAGAUUGUGUCUCUUUUAUAAAAAUAAAUCUGAAUUAUUUAAUGUCAUUAUGUAUUGGUUUGAAUAUUCAAUUGUUAAACGUAAAAGUAAAAAAUUAUCAUUAAUAUUUUUUAUUGAAGUGUGAUUGAUACCUACAAUAUUUACUCAAAACAGUUCCAAUAUAAUUCCUCUUUUCCAAAUUAUCAAAAAGGAAAAAAAAAAAAAAAAAAAGAACUUACAUUCAUAAGUCCUGACAGCUAGGUAUUCUGUACUAUAUGACAACCCAACAACAAAAUCAUCUCAUUUGGAGUAGAAGCACUCAUAAAAUUGAAAAACAGUCUGAAGAAAGAAAAGAAAAUUGAUGCAAGGAUGCGAUCCACCAUCUGAAAUGUUGGCCUGUCUGACAUUUUGAAGACUUCUUUCCAGAGAAUCAUUACUGCUAGUAUAUCUCAUAGAAGUUCUUUGUAACAGAGGUGGAGUCAGAAUUUUGACACUAUUAAUGGGGAUCCAAUGUAAGAUGUAAAAGGGAGUUAAACUCAGGAUUCCAGAGUAGGAAUACAAAAUUUUGGGGUGAUUGAGGAGAAAUUGUGUGUUAGAAAGAAUAGCCUAUAAAAUGAAAACAGAGAAAUGAAGCGGGUUUAAGAAAUUUGGACAAAAUUGCACCGUUUAUAAAUCCAAACACCAUUAAAUAUAAAUGAACAUACUGGCAAAAAAAAUAUAAAUGAAACUCCAAUAAAUUUCAGAUUUUAAUGGCGUUUAUAAAUGCAAAUGCUGCUAGUAUCUAAAUUUUAGUAGAGCUUAUAAUUACAAACGUUGCUAAAUUUAUCUAAAAUUUCAAUCUACUUCCCACUCUUUUUUUUCUGCAUUUCUUUUCGUGCCCGUCAAAUUUUUUAUAUUUCAAAGGCCUUUAAGGAUGAGAAACGCCACCACUGUUUUAAUUUUAAAAUAUUUACUUGAAAACGCCACCAUCAUUUCAAGAUCAAGAAAGCUACUGGCCUUUUUUUAAUCAAACGCCGUGAAAAUUUUGUCAUGAAAAGCCUAUUUUUAUGCAACGCGGUGUUUUUUAAUCCUAUUUAGCACUUAAACUAAUUCUGAAUUUCAACAUAUAAAUGCUGGAAUCGUCAAGCUUGAGGGUUCGAGUUAAAGAGGUGCAUUUGCUUUGGAACAUUUGUUAAUAGCCAAUCGUGAUAAGAACUUUAAUUGUGAAAUAUAUUUCCUAGGAAGUUGAUGAUGUGAUAACAUAAUAUUGUUUGUAUAGAUGCUCAUAGGGUUGAAUGAAUGAACAAAUUCAAUCAAAUAAAAACAUAAAGAAAAGAAAAACUACAGAUGUAUGACAUUAAUGCAUGCUAUACAGAAAGUAAGGUUCUGUUCUUUCUAAACACAGGGCUAAAGGCCAAAUCUUUGAAUUGUUAAAGAAAAUAUUGUGCCAUGAUCAGGUUAAUUAAUGCUACACAUGUAACUUACUUUGUAUCAUAUACCAUCCAUUGCUCAACCCAAAUUCAACUACUUAAUUAGGAACUUUAUCAAUCUCCCCCUUGGAAUGCAUUUUCCAUUUUGAAAUGUAUUGCUGUUCUUAAUUAAAACUUUACUGAUAGAUACUGCAAACAACGUUAAACAAGAUGGAGCUUGAAGUUUGAACUGUGAACUUAAAUGGUUGCUGAAGGCUAGCCUUUCAGUUAGCUUUUAUUGUCGCAUUAACUCCUAAGAAUAUUGUAUGACUUCCUAAUGCUAGCUAUAGAUAGAAAUAUCCUAAGUUGAAUUUCAUUUAUUUUCUCUUUUUGCAUUUGCUUCCACAAGUAAAAAAUUUCAACAUAUCAAACUCCCAUUUAUAAUAGCUGGUCAGAACAUAAAAAUUAAAAAGUGAAACAUUCAUUUAUAUCUGUCAAAGAUAGUAUACGCAUAUGCAAACCUUCAGAAGGUUCUACGAGAAGAGGAAAUUUUCAUAUGUAACAGGUAAUACAACAUUGGUGUAUGUCUCGUCCGUCCCUCUUUUUUCAAGUGAAAAAAUCCACAUGUUGAUGCUUUAUUCUCCACAUUCAAGCGAGAAAGAAGAAGAAAGAUAUCAACAAGGUCAAAUCCACUUUAUGAAGAAGGGAAAUAUGAAUUAUGUUGUACCAUUUAUAGAAGAUACCAUCUCCCACUACAAAAUUAUAAACUAGUUAUUUAUGAUGCUGUGGGUCAGGUCCCCUAGGGCUUGUUCUCCUAAUCUGUUCAAACUGGUUUCUCAUAGCUUCUCCCUGCAGGUACUGUCUCAAGGACUCGAUAGAUUGGUUUGGAUUCCUCAUCUCUAUCAAGAGGCGACUGUCUGAGCCUGCAGACAAAAGUAAGACCAAGGUAAGGCAUACCAGACUCCUACAGAUAGACAUUGUAGUUAAAGUGAUUACGUGACAACCUUGUGCUUUGACAUGGAAGUUGAGAGGCUUUUCCAAUCUAUAUACAUCCUAAUCAACUUUAGUACAAAGUGGAUGAGGAAUUGUUAAUCAAUCAUUCGACUGUAAAUUGUCAUCUGACAGGGAAAGACUGUUUAUCCUGUUGGCAGAACCAAGUAAAAAUACUAUGGUUUUGGCCUAUGAUCAUUCUGACGAGCUUUAGCCAAUAAGAUGUCAGACAGCCACUAGCCAACAUCUCUAUUUUGGCAUAUUGUAAGUUGGAAGUAUUAAACUCCUUUUAGCCUAUUAAUGUUCGCAACUUCACACAUGGAUAACUCAAGAAUACGUCACUGGUAAGCAUGGUCAUUCGUGUGCCAUUGAGGAUAAGUGGAUAAACCACACCGACCAGUCACCAGUGACAGUUGAUGAAAAAAAGUUUUGGAAAAAACUUUAAAUUAAAACUGUAUAACUUUGGAUUUGGGUCAAAUUUUAUUGGUUAUAAAAUCAUUUGGUUGUUAAGUUUAUUUAAAAGAUAAAUAUAUUUAAUGGAUAAAAGUUAUUAUUUAAUAGUAAUUUUUUUCAUAUUCGAAAAUUUGAAACUAUUAGGAUUUAAAUAAUGAUUACGAAAAUCAAGAACAUAAUUCAUUAUCAAUAUACUAUAGAUUAUGUGAUUAUUGGCUUGAAUAAUGAUUUUUUAUGAUUAAAGGUAUAUUUGGAUUUCACUUAACCUCCAUUGAAUGUGUGAUAUCUAUAACAAAAUUGUGUCCAACAACAAUAUACAUCCAUUUGGAUGUUAAAGCUGUGGGACGGUUGGAGAUUGUUAUCUCCGUUUGUUCAUUUGAAAUUUUUGUUGCGAUGGGACAAUGGCCCUCAUUUUUUUUUUUUUUUUACUUGUUUCCCAUUCUUCUUUUUUUCCCUCCAUUUUUAUUGCAAAGAUAAAAUUGUCCUUAUAAUUUGGCUUUUUUUUUUGCAUUUUGACUUUUUUUAUUUAAAAACUAUGAAAUAAAUUUUUUAAUUUAAUAUAAUAAAUAAAUUUGAUUAUUUUACAAUAAAUAAAUAAAUAAAUUUUAUUAUAUAAUAAACUUUUAAUUUAUUAAUUAUUUAUUAACAAAACUAGUAUUUUUCAUAAAAAUAUUUUAAUUAUUUAUUAAUUUUAUAAAUGUUAAAUAAUUUAAAGUUUUCAUUGCAUAAAAUUUUUUAAUCUAAUGUUUUUAAUAAUCAUUUUUCUUUUCAGUCCUGUUACAUGUAGGAACAUUAGAAUCUUAAUUGUUCAUUUAAUAUUUUCCAGGAUAAGCAAGCCCUCUGUUUGAUAAUGCUGAUCAAUGAGCGAAUAGAAAAAAGCCAAACCUGACACCUGAGACAUACCUAAAAGACUCAUUCUAGCCUUCUUUUCCUCUUUUUGAUUGUUAAGUUAAGCUGGGACUUUUUCCUUUUUAACUUCCUUCCAUGUAUAACUGUCCAUAUUAUGUGGUUGCUGUUUUUCAUUGCCGUUCUUACCUUCAACAGUACCGCAACGAAACAAAGAAACUGACUAAUUGGUGAUUAACAAUGAGUUGUCCAUUAGACUAGAAUCAAUAUCAACAAAUGGAGAUUUUUUUUCUUUUCCAUUCUCCAAUCACAUUGUGAUUUCCUCUUCACAAAAAUGCUCGCUGAGUAUAUUUCUCCAGUCAUGACUUUUGAUUAGACCUAACAAAAUCUUUAUUUCUCUCGAGGCCUUCUUUCUGGCUACUAGGGUAUGAAAAUGACAAGCAUUUUUGGCCUUAAGCUGUGUCCAUUGACAUUGUCCAAUGCUUAGGACAAGCUUUAGAUUUUGUCUGUAUUGGAUGUUCUUAAUAGCUACCAAACAAACUUAAAAGUUAAAACCAUUUUUCUUGUCCUUGUAUGACGGUAAGUGUUUGUCUGUGUCUCUUUGUAUUCUUAAUUUUCUAGCCACACAGAGACAUGGAUGCAGCUGUAAACAUUUCACAAUACAUUCCACGAUGAAAAACAGCAACCACAUAAUAUGCGGUCCAUUUAAAAUUUAUAGGAUGAUAUUUCGCUAUGGACUUUUAUUCAAGGAUUUUUCCAUUAAAAUAUGCAGUCCAGUAGAAGUUUGUGCAUUCAAUGUAAUUGUUCAGCCGAACUUUCUGGUUUUUAGCAUUGCAGAUUUUCAAUCGGGGGUCAGUGUGAGAUAACUAGCUAGUAGUUAAUUAAAAACAAUUGAUAAAUGGUCAUUGAUUCAAAUAUACAUAACACACUGGGAAUCUGGGACCUAGGAGAUUCAGGUUCUAUCACUUGUAACUCUUUUUUUAUGAAGAAAUUUAUACUCAAGAAGUGGAGUUAGGAAUGGAAAGUGUGGUUUUACCUUGGAUCCUUUUUGAAUCAGAUUUCCUGGUUGAGCUAAGCCACUUCUUGCCAUGACUUUGAUGUAUUAGUGGUUUGAAGCUUAUCUUUUCUUAAAGGAGAUUCGGCUGCAACAGAACAGUCCCACUCAGGGUAAAGCAGGAUAUCAUUCCAUAAUGUCCCUUAUCCAUUCUUUUAAAGGACCAAUUCCAGUUAACUAUAUUAGUUGACUUUAAAGAUGGUGUUAUCAGUUUAUAGAAUCGCAUUUUAUAAACUUGAAACCUUGUCAUGAAUUUCUUAUUCUUUUUUUUUUUCCAAUUAGAGAAGCUAUAGUUGCAGCAUUAUCUUUCCGUCCCACAAUCUGAAGAGAUAUAUAAACUCACAAACAUAGAAUAAAGCUUCAUGGUUCAUUGCUCUUACUUUUGUUGUAAAACAACAAUAUCUGAUAAAUUUCAUGGCCUUAAUUUCGACAGCAAACUUAAACGGUUGGCUGGUGGGAGUUGGGAUAAAAAUUCUGGAUUUAAUUCCUAGUGCUGCUUGUUAGGAUACGUGGGAUCCAGUCUCAUGUAAUUGAUUUUGAUCAUUCAAAAGUCAUUGCUCUUGUGUGUUUUAGGCUACCCUAAGAGAGCCCCCAGAUAAUAAAAGAAGAGGGGGGCUGUGUUGUGAGAAACAGAGGACGGCAUCAAAGAGAGAAAAAGAAAAGUUAGAAAAAAUAGAGAGAAAAGGAAAAAGAGAAAGUUGGUUAAUUGAAAGUCAAUUUAUGGUUUAAUUGAGUUAAAAUUUUAUUAAUAUGUUUAUGAUUUAGAAUUUUACAUUUUUAACGAUGAAAAUUAAGUUUAAAACUCUCUAGGAAUAAGUUUGGGAUAUAUUUAUUAAGUCACUUAUUUGAUGAAAUUUUUUUAAUUUCUCUUUAAUUGUUGAUUUGUUUUAGUUUUAACUAGAAGUAAAUUUUAUAUAUCCAUUAUUUGAUAGUAGAGAUUUUUUUAAAUGAUCUGUUAUUUUUUUUUCAUUUACACUAGAAGAUUUUUUACUUAAAUUUUGAUGUGUUUUAUUUUUCUUGUGUUGUUGAUUAUUGAUUAUUAUUUAUUAUUGUGAGUUUAUUACGAUAUAUUACUUUUACAUUGUUGUGUUUGUUGUUUUAGGCCUAACAUUGCUGCCCUCUUGUAUCAUAAGGAAAAGAGUCAGAAUUUUAAUGUCCCUUCCAAUCGUAUUGUAAGAUUGAACAAUGGAUCUUGAGAGAAGAGAAAUAAAAGUUCUUUCACCCUGGCAGAUGCAUAUAUACUACUUGGUACAGAAAAACCAUAGUUUAAUCUGCUUACGAGUUAAAAAGUGCCAAAAGGGGAGUUUCGCUUUAUCGCUAGAGCAAGCAUAGUUGGAUUUUCAAUUUAUUUAACUUGCAAAGUGUUUUAGUUGUUUGUGAAGGUACUUCAAGCAUGAAUUGUCAUUCUCCUAAAGGAAAAAGGCAAGUGCUGCUCUGACAAAAGGGAAGGAGGAAGAGAGACAAGUUUUCCAUGAUUUAGACCCCUGAUAUUAGUGCAUUCUUAUGUUUCAUUUAGCUCUCACCAAUUAGAAAAAAUAUCAGCUUUGGAGGUGAUGACAAUGGGAUUUUACAAGCCUUAUAUUUUGAAAUUAAGUAUAUGAUUGUCAAGAACUCCAACAAUGUCUGAUAAAGAUUACUAGUAUGUUUUUUUUUCUUAAUUGAAUUCAAAUAUUAUAGUCUUGUUUAUCUUAUGCAUGGAUCAUGAUCACUUCAAAAUCCUAAUUUGAGGCACUGGGAACCAAGCAACAGUGGUAUCAGUCGAUCAUAAGGCUUAAAGUCUGCAGAAAGAGAAACAGUUCGCUCAUAUAAUAUACAUUGGAAACACCAUCAUAGCCUAAAUGACUGAGCAAAAGAAAUACAUGCCAAAAGAAAGAUGAUGCGGAGUUGGCAGAGAUAUCUCCUCCAAAUCACUGGUAUGGCUAUCGAAAUCGUGAGCAUCGGCAUGUAGGUUCCAGAUCCAAGUGGUAGUAUCGGGUCCCUUAGCUAUUGUUCUUGAGAAAUGACCCGGCCUAGCUCACGAUUAUAAGAGCACAUCCAGCUCCUCGUGAAAAAAAUGACUAAAAAAUAUUUUAUUUUAUUCUUAAGAUAUAUAGGUAGUUAAUGAAUAAUAGAUUGAAUCCUAGGAUUCUUUGCUUUGAGAUUUUAUCUGAUCUAGCUAUUAGAAAUUUAUAUAUCUUGUUUGGAUAUAUAUUGGAUAUAUAUAUAUAUAUAUAUAUAAAUAAUUAAACAUGGAUUCUAUUUAUAGAUAAUGCCCUAUCUUGUUUUUGUUAUAAUGUUAUAACAAAUCUUUAUUUUGUUUUAUCUUUUUUUAUCAUAUUCAUCUUGGAAUUAAAAAAAUUUAUCAAUCAAAUAAAAUGAAAAAAAAAAUUUAAAUGAAAAUAAAAUUUUUGCAAGCAAAUAUUUACUUUUUCAAUAUCUAUUUUAGUUAUUGGGUUAACUUAUGACCUCUCAAAACCAGAAUAAAAAGAAAUGAAGUGGUCUCUAGUUUGUUCCUCCAUCCUACCCAAUAAAUCAUUAAGAUUCAUUUUCAAUAGAAUCCUCUUCAUUCUCAGGUUCAUCGUCUUUUAUAUAUAUAUAUAUAUAUAUAUAUAUAUAUAUAAAUAGAUCUUAUUCAUCUAAUGAUUCAUUUAGUAAUUGAAUUGAACGACCCUUUUAACUUAGUGAUAAAGUAACACUAUGGUAAGGUAUAAGUCAUCGGUUCAAAUCCAAUAAGGGGCUUUUGGCUUUUUUUUUUUCAUAAAACUCCAGUGAAAUAGUAGUAUUCAUAUUUAAACGAAGAAUAGGGGUGUUGUUUUUAUUGGUAAUAAAAAACCAACUGUAUAUGUAUAAUAAUUUAAUUAGAAACUGUAUAAUUUAACUCUAAUAAGUUAUUAUCUAAUAAGUUAUUAUUCUAAUGAGUUAGAGUAGAGUAAUUCUAAAAGAAAGUUGAACAUUUGUUUAUUAUAAUGAAUAAUGAUAAGUCGUCUCUUGAAUUGACAAAUAUAUAUUUUUAUUUUGCAUUAUAUUAUUCCAAUUAAUCCAUUGUAAAGAAUUGUAAAGAUUAGAAAUCAAUAAAAAGAAAAAGUAAGGGGAUCUAACCCAUUAAAUCAUGACUAUAUCCACUAUUCUCAUAUUAGCCCUAGUAGCCUUGCUAAAUGGUGAUUCAACAUGGAUUAUACAUCUCGGAACCAAGCCAAUUUUGGGUUUGCUUUGUGAUAAUGGAAUACAAAAAGCAUUAAGGUUGCAAAGACCAAUGCACCAAUUGAGGUGCAAUAGAGUUGUAAUUCAUUAGUUAUUCCAGAUGUUCGCCAAAUCUAAAAAAAAAUAAAAUAAAGAGGGUAUUUGUAUCCUUUGCAAACCUCCGCCCACAUCACCAUUCAAGAUUUCUAUUUAUUUUUUUAUGAAAUUUGUAUAGUAGUAUGUAGAUAAUUAUAAUAUAAAAAAUCUAUAGGAAUAAAUAAAUAAUGACAUAAAGACACCGAUCGUUUUGUUUUAAAAAUAGAUGUCUUUGACAUCCAACUAUAGCACUGAAUAACCUUUUUUUUAAAAUGGCAGCUCAAAAAAAUGUACUUCUACAUCAAAAAAACAUAUUUGAAAAAAAUGUUUGGAAAAAGAAAAGAUAUUGGGUGGCAUUGAAAGCUUUUUCAUUAUUGAGAUCUAUUUUUAUGAGUAUUUCAAAAUGUUUUUUUGUACGACAAAAUUUGUUUUUAAUUUGAAUUGGUUUAACUUGAAUAAGAUACAAAUGUUUUCUUUUUUGAAUAUAUAUAUUUUCAUUUAUGGGAUAGGGAUUCUUAUUUUCCCCAUUGCCCCAUUUGCUUUCUUAGUGUUAAAGCCACAUUCCAAAUAAAUAACAAAUCAAAGCAAAGAAAAAGAAAAGCAAUAAAUAGGUAAAUAGAAGAUUCAAAAGGCCUGAUCAACGUAAAGACGAAUAUACCAACUUGAUUUUUUGGCAUUAUAAUUACAACUACAAAAAAGAGCUUUCAGAUUUUUACUCUUUUGUGUCUUAAAAUAAAAUUGAAUGAAAAGAUUAAGAAGUUUCAAACUUUUUAUUCCAUAUCUGUUCUAAUGCUACACUGCUACUCAAUAACUUAGGGGAUCGAUUCUAUUACAUAAGUUGAUUCUCAAUUUUUAUCUCAUAUCAUGACAUAAAUAAGCAGUUUUUAUUUAUUAUAUCGGCCCAAAACCUCACUAAUUGACUUUUACGGUGUGUCAUAACGUAUAGAUCUAUAGAUCGCUAGACACAAGCUAAGGAGUCGCCAACAAUAUUUUAUUAAGGUGUGAUUAGCCACCUAAUCUUUUCGAAAAGUUCCUAAGAUUGACUAAGAGUCUUUCACAAAUAAGUUUUGACUUUUUGAGUAGAACUAUGUUCGAUAAUUCGAUUACAUGUAAGAAAGGUUAUAGUACCCCUACAAUGCUCAUCCUAAAAGACGGUACCAUUUAAUUUUAAAUUAUCCUAAGGUCUUAAUUCUAAUAGUCUUCUAUUAACUAGAAUAAAUAAUAAAAAAAACUAUGGAUUUUUGCACAAUCCAUUUUUAUGUUAUGACUAAGUUCUUUUGUCGAACCCUAUCUAUCAAAACUCCUAUAACAAAGGAAAGAAGUUUUUAUUUAGUUAUUUUUAUUUAGUUAUUUAAAUGAAAUAACUACUCUUUUCCUAAUUUUAUCAAGUCUUCUGACAAAAGGCGGCAAGGCUCUAAUUUUCAGGAUUUUUUAUCCCCCUAUCUUGUGAUCCUAUCUUGAUUACGCCCAAUUCCCCUGUUCGACAAAGGGUCUCUUUAUAUACAAUAAUCGCAUUGUAGCGGGUAUAGUUUAGUGGUAAAAGUGUGAUUCGUUCUAUUAAUCCCCUUAAUAGUUAAGGGGUCCUUCGGUUUGAUUCAUAUUCCGAGCAAAAACUUUAUUUCUUAAAAGGAUUUAAUCCUUUACCUCUCAACGAAAGAUUUGAGGAAGAAUAUACAUUCUCGUGAUUUGUAUCCAAGGGCCAAUUAAAUUAUAUAAUUAUAUGAUUAUAUUCUAAAUUGAAAAAUUGGAUUAUGAAAUUACGAAACAUAAUUUUUUUUUUUUUUUUGAAUUGGAUCAAUACUUCCAGUUGAAUAAGUAUUAA
rnacentral:lncRNA from 1 species